GAUGAACGCUGGCGGCGUGCCUAAUACAUGCAAGUCGAGCGAACAGACGAGGAGCUUGCUCCUCUGACGUUAGCGGCGGACGGGUGAGUAACACGUGGAUAACCUACCUAUAAGGCUGGGAUAACUUCGGGAAACCGGAGCUAAUACCGGAUAACAUGUUGAACCGCAUGGUUCAACAGUGAAAGACGGUCUUGCUGUCACUUAUAGAUGGAUCCGCGCCGCAUUAGCUAGUUGGUAAGGUAACGGCUUACCAAGGCAACGAUGCGUAGCCGACCUGAGAGGGUGGACGGCCACACUGGGACUGGGACACGGGCCAGACUCCUACGGGAGGCAGCAGUAGGGGAUCUUGCGCAAUGGGCGAAAGCCUGACGGAGCAACGCCGCGGGAGUGAAGAAGGGCUUCGGAUCGGAAAACUCUGUUAUUAGGGAAGAACAAAUGUGUAAGUAACUAUGCACGUCUUGACGGUACCUAAUCAGAAAGCCACGGCUAACUACGUGC
rnacentral:rRNA from 1 species